UUUCAAGGGGAGGUGUGUAUGUGUGUGUGUGUGUGUGUGUGUGUGUGUGUGUGUGAGAUAAAUUUCACUGACCUCACAUCUGUGGUUGCUCAUGCACAUUACUAAGUGUGAAUGCUGACUCUACCCAGUGCAAGUCACUGUCUUCUGUUGGUAUUACUCUGUGGGCAUAAAAUAACCACUGCCUUUGUCAGAAUGUCACUCCUUUAAUAAGUGGUCUUUGCAAAAAGCACUUUACUCCCAGGACAGACACUAGAAUUUUGCAGAGACGCUUUACUGGUGUCCUAUAAUUCCAGCAGGACAGCCAUUUUGGGGAGUCAUAUUUCAGUUCCUCUGAAUUCUCAUUGCCGAAUCACACUUACAAAAGCAAGCCCUUAAAAGGUUUGACUUUUAAAACCCCACCCCCCCAAAAAAAUAUUGGUAAGGCAGGAGCCAUGGUUCAAUGAUGGAUUCUCUUGCUCACAGAAAAUGCACCUGUCUUCCUCAAGGUCUAGUGGGUGUGUCCUCACUGACCUUCGUUGGGGAGCUGGACUGGGAGAUGGCUGCUGGAAAUGCAGUGAGAGGACAGAUAAUAUGUCCCCAAAUGUUUACACUGGACAGUGAGCAGCAGCCACCUCCUUUACUUCGAUUCAUUGUGCUUUUCCUCUCUUCCCCUCACUAUUUUGGUGAAACUUGUUUGGUGAUGAAAACAGGAUUUCUCUUACUGUGGAAGUUGGUAGUAGAAAUGUAUCAGGGCAGGAUUGAUCUGUGUGAUCUGAGGACAGGGGUACCUACAGGACCGGUGUUCUCUCUGCUACCUCUGUUUCCAUCUGCAUGACUUCUCCAGCCUCCAUUCUUUACCAAGCAGUUUCCUGUCUGCUUAGGGUUUCUGCUUUUCUGUCAUUGAGGCUUAUAUGUAGCUCUUUUCAGCCAUAUGAACUUGACUUACUGUCGGGCUUCACCUCUGACUGCAUAUUGGUGAAAUUCUCUGCACGUAUUUUAGUUCAAAUUAUAAAGAGAAUUCAAAUUCAUGGGGACACUGGGAGAUUUUUGGCCAGCCUUGGGUGCUUCCAGAUCAUAUGACCUGGGGUCACAUGACUUUCACGUACCCAAUUAGCUGUGGUGUGGGUGUCUCAGACUAUAAACCACAGCUCUAGGCAGCAAAGGGCUGGGGCCUGGGUGCAUUUCCUGUGA
rnacentral:lncRNA from 1 species